GACGAACGCUGGCGGCGUGCUUAACACAUGCAAGUCGUACGGUAAGGCCCUUUCGGGGGUACACGAGUGGCGAACGGGUGAGUAACACGUGAGUAACCUGCCCACAACUUUGGGAUAACGCUAGGAAACUGGUGCUAAUACUGGAUAUGUGCUCCUGCUGCAUGGGGGGGGUUGGAAAGCUCCGGCGGUUGUGGAUGGACUCGCGGCCUAUCAGCUUGUUGGUGGGGUAGUGGCCUACCAAGGCGGCGACGGGUAGCCGGCCUGAGAGGGUGACCGGCCACAUUGGGACUGAGAUACGGCCCAGACUCCUACGGGAGGCAGCAGUGGGGAAUAUUGCACAAUGGGCGCAAGCCGGAUGCAGCAACGCCGCGGGCGGGAUGACGGCCUUCGGGUUGUAAACCGCUUUCAGCAGGGACGAAGCUUUUUGUGACGGUACCUGCAGAAGAAGCACCGGCUAACUACGUG
rnacentral:rRNA from 1 species